CUUUUAGUACUGAUUAAUAAUAAAAUUUAAUUUUUUGUUAAGCUUCCUAGAAAAGCUCGUAGUAUUUAUAUUGUCAAAUUACCUGUACCUUAAACCGACACAGGUAGGUGGGUAGAGUAUACCUAGGGGCGCGAGAUAACUCUCUCUAAGGAACUCGGCAAAAUGGCCCCGUAACUUCGGGAGAAGGGGUGCCUCUUUCAAAAGAGGCCGCAGUGACCAGGCCCAAGCGACUGUUUACCAAAAACACAGGUCUCCGCUAAGUCGUAAGACAACAUAUGGGGGCUGACGCCUGCCCAGUGCCGGAAGGUGAAGGAAGUUGGUUAUUCACUAGAAGAAGCUAAUAACCGAAGCCCCGGUGAACGGCGGCCGUAACUAUGACGGUCCUAAGGUAGCGAAAUUCCUUGUCGGGUAAGUUCCGACCCGCACGAAAGGCGUAACGAUUUGGGCGCUGUCUCGGAGAGAGACUCGGUGAAAUAGACAUGUCCGUGAAGAUGCGGACUUCUUGCACCUGGACAGGAAGACCCUAUGAAGCUUGGCUGUAGCUUGUAAUUGGGUUCGGGCUUUUUUUGCGCAGCCUAGGUGGGAGGCAUUGAUAAUUUUCUUCUGGGAAAAUUUGAGCCGUUCGUGAGAGACCACUCUGAAAGAGCUAGAAUCCUAAUAAUGAUCCUUGAAUCAGGACAUUUGACAGUUGCAGGUGGGCAGUUUGACUGGGGCGGUCGCCUCCUAAAAAGUAACGGAGGCGUGCAAAGGUUCCCUCAGGCUGGACGGAAAUCAGCUUAAGAGUGUAAAGGCAAAAGGGAGCUUGACUGCAAGACUUACAAGUCGAGCAGGGGCGAAAGCCGGCCUUAGUGAUCCGACGGUACCGCGUGGAAGGGCCGUCGCUCAACGGAUAAAAGUUACUCUAAGGAUAACAGGCUGAUCUUCCCCAAGAGUUCACAUCGACGGGAAGGUUUGGCACCUCGAUGUCGGCUCAUCGCAACCUGGGGCGGUAGUACGUCCCAAGGGUUGGGCUGUUCGCCCAUGAAAGCGGUACGUGAGCUGGGUUCAGAACGUCGUGAGACAGUUCGGUCCAUAUCCGGUGUAAGCGUUAGAGUAUUGAGAAGAUUCUUUCAUUGUACGAGAGGACCUGAAAGAACGUACCACUAGUAUACCAGUUCUCGUUCCAACGGGAUACGCUGGGUAGCCAAGUACGGAGCGGAUAACUGCUGAAAGCAUCUAAGUAGGAAGCCCACUUCAAGAUGAGUACUCUCUUAAGAUCACGGUAAGACAAACCGGUUGAUAGGUAUCAGGUGAAAGAUUAGUAAUAGUUGAAGCUGAGAUAUACUAAUAGAUC
rnacentral:rRNA from 1 species